AAUACAUACAUAUAUAAAAUCACAAAAAAUGGUACAGAGAAUAAUCACUUUAAUCUAAAAAUAGUAUAUACUCAGCAUUACAAAUUAAACAAAACACAUACAUAUGUAUGUUAACAAAUAGAUUCUGCUUAACAAAUUAAGCAAAAACAGACAUACACACACACAUAUAAAAUAAAUCAAUACUCUCCCCCAGCCCGAUUCUCAAUUCCCAGCUGGGAGUUCCUGGUCUUCUAAUAUUUGUAUUGUUUAAUGUUGUACAUUUAUAUCUUUAAUUUAUCUGAAAUUUAUAUUUUUUAUUUCACGGUGAGAAAUAGGGGUCUAUAAUUUACAACUUACAAAUGAAAAGCCAGCUUUUACAAUAUCAUUUUUCACAUAAGCAUCCAUUUCCCACUGAAUUAAAAAGCCACUUUUACUAAGUAUUUAGCUCACUAUUAGGUAUUUGGAUCUGUUUCUGACUCUUUUUUCUAUUCCAUUGAUCAGUUUUUCUCCUGGUAAAUGGUAAUUUCUCAUGGUAAAUUUUUCUCAUGUAAAACAUACAGUUUUAGUAACAGAAAUUUUAUAUUAAGGUUUAAUGUCUAGAAGGAAGAGUAAAAUAAAAGCCUGUUGCCAUUCUGACUGGAAUUCCAUUAACACAUGUAUUAUUUUAGAAAGGAAUGACAUUUUAUAAUAACAGGAAAUAUUAUGGAAUAUAGUAUGACUAUUUCUCUUGUUAAAUUUAUUACUAAGGAUUUUAUAUAUUUUGUUACAUAAAUGAGAUUUUUUUAUUGCUAUGUAACUGGUUAUUGAAGGUAUAAAGAAACUUUGAUUUUUGUAUAUUUACCUUGUGGCCAUCCAGCCUACUGUUUUCUUAGUAAUAGUCUAUAAUAGUCAAGUUUUCUAGGAAUAUAUUCACAUCAUCUCAAAAUGAAAAUAACUUUGAUUUUUUCCAAUAUUUAUAUUGCUUAAUUUUAUUGUUUAAUUACAUCAUGUAGAACCCACAACACAAUUCUAUGUAACAGUGUCGACAGCAAAAUAUCCCUCUGCAUGUUGUCUGGUCUUAAUAGGAAUGGCUUUCAUAUUUCACAGUUUAAUGUAAUGUGAACCUCCCCCCCCUCCCCCAGAUUAAUGGCCAUCUGGAAUUUCAGGUAACCUUAUUUUGAAAUGGGGGUCUUUUCAGAUGUAAUUAGUUAAGAUGAGGUCAUAGUGGAUUAGGAUGGGCCCUAAUCCAAUGAGUGGUAUCCUCUUAGGAGGAGAAAAUAGAGACCCAGACAGACACACAGGGAGAACUCCAUGUGAUGACAAAGGCAGAGACUGGAGUGAUGUGUCUACCGCCAAGGAAUGCCAGCAACGACUAGAAGCUGGGAAGAGGCAAGGAAGGAUCAUCCUGUAGAUCUUUCAGAGAGAGCAUGAGCAUGUUGGCAACUUGAUUUCAGACCCCUAGCAUCCAGAACUUAAAUCUGUAACGAAUGCAGGAUAAAAGAGGAAGGAGACAUACACAUAGAACUCUAGAGAUGAAAGUGACAUUAAAGAUCAUCAAUAACCUUCUUUUACAGAUGCCAAAACGCCAAAUCUGCCAGUCACUCAAGAGAAGAGCACAGGCCCAGGGAACUGAUCUGGAUGCAUUCAAAGACUGCACGUGGCUGUGAGGCCAGACCAGCACUUCAUAAACUGCCCCAGACAGAACAACUGCUGAAUGGAAUGUCAAGAGUUGGGAGGGAGAAAAGGGUUAGGGAUAAUUCUAAAGUCAAAUUAGUUUGGAAAAACACUGAGUUCUACAGAGUUAAACAAAUUCUUUUACUGUGAGACUUCUCAGCGCCAUGCUGAUGUGCAUUACACAUUUCCAAGAAGGAGAUAAAGCACACAGCACUUUCCGAAUGUUUGACGUUUUUUUUUGUUCCUUUUAGUUUCUUAUUAGGUUGGCAGUCCCUGGGACACAUUCAGGAAAUACUGAUUCAGGUAGAUCAAGCAGUUAACGUAAAUGUUCAGGUAUGUACCUGAACUGUGGUAGAAGAAUCUAGA